rnacentral:rRNA from 1 species
UACAGAGGGUGCGAGCGUUUGUUCGGAAUUAUUGGGCGUAAAGCGCUUGUAGGCGGCACGUCAAGUCGCGUUGUGAAAUCCCCAGGCUUAACCUGGGAAGUGCGCGCGAAACUGACGAGCUUGAGUGCCGGAGAGGGUCGCGGAAUUCCCGGUGUAGAGGUGAAAUUCGUAGAUAUCGGGAGGAACACCAGUGGCGAAAGGCGGCGACCUGGACGGACACUGACGCUGAGA